rnacentral:tRNA from 2 species
GGGGACGUAGUUAAGCCUGGUCUAUAACGCCGGCCUGUCACGCCGGAGGCCGCGAGUUCAAAUCUCGUCGUCCCCGCCA